AAUGGUGGAGGUGCAGGCAUUUCCUGAGGAUUAAUGACCAGCUGGGAGGAACCAGUGGCCCUUGGCUCUGCCUCCCAGCCAGCCAUUAAUUCCAAGGAAAUGUCUUUUGCUGAGGUCGUU
rnacentral:pre_miRNA from 1 species